rnacentral:rRNA from 1 species
UACGGAGGGUGCGAGCGUUGUUCGGAAUUACUGGGCGUAAAGGGGGCGUAGGCGGUUUGUUAAGUCAAAUGUGAAAGACCACGGCUUAACUGUGGUAGUGCAUUUGAGACUGGCAGGCUAGAGUUUCGGAAGGGAAAGUGGAAUUCCUGGUGUAGGAGUGAAAUCCGUAGAUAUCAGGAGGAAUACCGGUGGCGAAGGCGUCUUUCUGGACGAAUCCUGACGCUGAGGCCCGCAAGCGUGGGGAGCAAACAGG